UGGGGAAUUUUGGACAAUGGACGCAAGUCUGAUCCAGCCAUGCCGCGUGCGGGAAGAAGGCCUUCGGGUUGUAAACCGCUUUUGUCAGGGAAGAAACGAGUUUCUCUAAUACAGAGACUUAAUGACGGUACCUGAAGAAUAAGCACCGGCUAACUACGUGCCAGCAGCCGCGGUAAUACGUAGGGUGCAAGCGUUAAUCGGAAUUACUGGGCGUAAAGCGUGCGCAGGCGGUUAUGCAAGACAGAUGUGAAAUCCCCGGGCUCAACCUGGGACCUGCAUUCGUGACUGCAUAGCUAGAGUACGGCAGAGGGGGAUGGAAUUCCGCGUGUAGCAGUGAAAUGCGUAGAUAUGCGGAGGAACACCGAUGGCGAAGGCAAUCCCCUGGGCCUGUACUGACGCCCAUGCACGAAAGCGUGGGGAGCAAACA
rnacentral:rRNA from 1 species